rnacentral:sRNA from 1 species
CCAAGAGAGCGCGAAACCGUUAGGAGGGAAGUGCAGGGCAGCGAGCGGAAGGCCCUCGGCGAAAUUCAGCCGUCUUGUCGGCUUCCGAAAGGUUGGGAGUCGGCGGCGGUGCACUUUUCGCCGGGGCACGUCAGUGGCGAUCGCUUCCGUCCCUCGAAGCGGUGGAGGGAUGCCUCCUCGGAGGCCAGGUGGCCGGGACGUCCGUUCGGUCGUCUCGGAGCGUACACUCCGUCGCCGGGGGCGCGGAGGCGAUCGAGGAGUGGGUUCGUUCCGUAGGCGUCCAUUCGCCUGGAACAAAGGCAGGUGCGGGCCAGAGUGUCUGGCCGGACGGCCCGUGACGUCCGACGAGGCCGCGCGAGUGCUGCCCCGUCCUCGCGGCGGGCGGCUUGCGCGUCGGCGUCGGCGUUCGGUGUCCGUCUCGCCCGCGCCUAGGUG